rnacentral:rRNA from 1 species
CAGAUGCUAAUACCGCAUAAAACCUACACCGCAUGGUGUAGGGUUGAAAGAUGGUUUCGGCUAUCACUUUAGGAUGGACCCGCGGUGCAUUAGUUAGUUGGUGAGGUAAAGGCUCACCAAGACCGUGAUGCAUAGCCGACCUGAGAGGGUAAUCGGCCACACUGGGACUGAGACACGGCCCAGACUCCUACGGGAGGCAGCAGUAGGGAAUCUUCCACUAAUGGACGAAAGUCUGAUGGAGCAACGCCGCGUGAGUGAAGAAGGUUUUCGGAUCGUAAAACUCUGGUUGUUGGAGAAGAAUGUAUCUGAUAGUAACUGAUCAGGUAGUGACGGUAUCCAACCAGAAAGCCACGGCUAACUACGUG